AAGCAUAAAAACUCAGAGUAUCUCUGCUUUUUGUUCUGGGUAGCUUGGCUUUCGAAGUGGGCCUUUCUGUGUGUGACUAAGGAUGGAGAUGGUUGGCUUUCUGUGUAUAGCACAUCCGGGGGGGAUUUUUGUAACCAUGUCCUCUAGAAAACCCUGAGAUCACCUUUCAGAAGUGUUAGGAACUAAAGAAGCGCUACAAUCACUUCAAGCCAGAGGAUGGCUAAAAGGGAGAACUGGCCUGGGCUUGGCAAAACUCCACUUGGUGUGGAGUCAUUUAACUCUAACAUUCACAGACUUUGAAGAAUGAAAAAAAAAAAAAAAGGACGAUCCUUCCCUCUCAUAUUUCCUGUGGGCAUGCAUAACUAAAUGAUGCCCACCGGUAUUGUGUGUUUGGCUUCCAGAGAUGCUGUAUUCCCUAACACAAUCCUGUGAGAACCAGCCAGUUUUCACAGAACAAAUUACUUCUCUUUCAGGAAACCGAAACCCAGAUGACAAACAACUCAGACCGCAGAGGGGUACUGCUUUCUUUCUGCUGCCACAGGACAGCGUCUGAAAUAAUGUAUGGGCAGAGAAGGUGAUGAAGCCCAGCUUUCCAGCACAGAGGGAGCUGAGAUCUCCAACAGAAAUCAGUCAUCUUUGCCCUCUGUUGACUCCUCAUAUUCUACUUGUCUUAUGAUCUCUAAUAUUGCUUUGGAGUUGGUAAAAAUCCAGGAAGGCUGGGCUCUGAGGCUGGAAUUUGAAGCAUAGGGCCAGCUGCAAGUUGACGUUCUCCACCUGAACCACCACAACGGCAGAUUCUGCAUCAUCUAUCUGGGGUCCUGCAGGUGAGGACAGAGAGAAGCAGCGACGGUGUGUGAAGCAUGAGCCUGUCUACUGUGAGAACCCAGAUGACACCUCUGUGAACCACGGGGAAUUCUCUUCAUGGUCACCCACUACACUCAGGCUUGACUUUUGAGACCCCUAGUAGCUCAGGGUAGCCUGAGGCUCACCGUGUAUUUCAGGGUGGCCUUGUAUUCUGCUGGGAUUACAUAUGUGUACCACCACAUCCGGUUGAUUAGAAAUGGUUCUCCUUAUUAUACGGUUCCGUGUUGGUUUAAUUCUUUUUUUAAAAUUUUCAAGCAAAAAGCACAAACAUCUCUUACAGGGAAGGGGUGGUUUCUGACUCUAAUUGUGUCCCUAGGGGUGGGAUUGAAAUGGAAUGAGAAGAGGCAGCAGCACAAAACAUUCUAAUAUAUUUGUGGGGACAAUCUCUAAAGUGAGCUGAUUGGUUGAACUAAGGAUAUGAGGGGGCAGUUGGGAAAAGCCAGAAAGAGCUGGGAGGGUCUAAGGAAAGAGAGAAGCUUGUUGAGGGGAGCUAUGGAAUGUGAGUACCACCUCGAGCCUAGAAAUGGGCUCUUCCUGUGCUACUUGCUCCCAGUGCUGAGCCCAUCAUAGAUUUAUGUUUAGAAACAAGUGCUAAAUAAAUUUUAAUGAAUAAAUGAAUACUUCAAAAUUG